rnacentral:tRNA from 1 species
GGGCAGGUGGCUCAGUGAUAGAGCGCUUGUCUAGCAUGCAGGAAGCUCUGGGUUCGAUUCCUCUGCACC